AUUGAACGCUGGCGGCAGGCCUAACACAUGCAAGUCGAGCGGAUGAAGGGAGCUUGCUCCUGGAUUCAGCGGCGGACGGGUGAGUAAUGCCUAGGAAUCUGCCUGGUAGUGGGGGAUAACGUCCGGAAACGGGCGCUAAUACCGCAUACGUCCAGAGGGAGAAAGUUGGGGAUCUUCGGACCUCUCGCUCUCAGAUGAGCCUAGGUCGGAUUAGCUAGUUGGUGGGGUAAAGGCCUACCAAGGCGACGAUCCGUAACUGGUCUGAGAGGAUGAUCAGUCACACUGGAACUGAGACACGGUCCAGACUCCUACGGGAGGCAGCAGUGGGGAAUAUUGGACAAAGGGCGAAAGCCUGAUCCAGCCAUGCCGCGUGUGUGAAGAAGGUCUUCGGAUUGUAAAGCACUUUAAGUUGGGAGGAAGGGCAGUAAGUUAAUACCUUGCUGUUUUGACGUUACCAACAGAAUAAGCACCGGCUAACUUCGUG
rnacentral:rRNA from 1 species